CAUGCAAGUCGAACGGAAAGGCCCUUUCGGGGGUACUCGAGUGGCGAACGGGUGAGUAACACGUGGGUGAUCUGCCCUGCACUUCGGGAUAAGCCUGGGAAACUGGGUCUAAUACCGGAUAUGAUCAUGCGCCUCAUGGUGUGUGGUGGAAAGCUUUUGCGGUGUGGGAUGGGCCCGCGGCCUAUCAGCUUGUUGGUGGGGUAAUGGCCUACCAAGGCGACGACGGGUAGCCGGCCUGAGAGGGUGUCCGGCCACACUGGGACUGAGAUACGGCCCAGACUCCUACGGGAGGCAGCAGUGGGGAAUAUUGCACAAUGGGCGCAAGCCUGAUGCAGCGACGCCGCGUGGGGGAUGACGGCCUUCGGGUUGUAAACCUCUUUCAGUAUCGGCGAAGCUCCGGAGUUUUCUUUGGGGUGACGGUAGGUACAGAAGAAGCACCGGCCAAC
rnacentral:rRNA from 1 species